rnacentral:lncRNA from 10 species
CCCACCCCAGGACAGGUCCCGGUUUGUGAUGUUCCCCACCCUGUGUCCAAGUGGUAGGGUCUUAAUCCAUUAGGACUGAUGUCCUUGUAAGAACAGAGAGGGGCAUAAGAGUCAUUUGUGCACAAAGAGUAAGCGAUGUGAAAAUGCAGAGAGAACGUGGCCACCUGCAAGCUGAGGAGAGAGGUCUCAGGGAGAAACCAGCUGAAACCUUAUUUUGUUUUGUUUCUGACCCCUGAGGUGGACUGGUUUCAACCUUGGUGUUGGACUUUGAGCUUCCCGAACUGUGAGAAACAAAAGUUGUGUUGCUUAACCUGUUCUAU